rnacentral:rRNA from 1 species
UACUCGAGUGGCGAACGGGUGAGUAACACGUGGGUGAUCUGCCUUGCACUUCGGGAUAAGCUUGGGAAACUGGGUCUAAUACCGGAUAGGACAGCUGUUUAGUGUCAGUUGUGGAAAGUUUUUUCGGUGCAAGAUGAGCUCGCGGCCUAUCAGCUUGUUGGUGGGGUAAUGGCCUACCAAGGCGUCGACGGGUAGCCGGCCUGAGAGGGUGGACGGCCACAUUGGGACUGAGAUACGGCCCAG